GGGUUGUGAGGUUAAGCGACUAAGCGUACACGGUGGAUGCCUAGGCAGUCAGAGGCGAUGAAGGGCGUGCUAAUCUGCGAUAAGCGUCGGUAAGCUGAUAUGAAGCGUUAUACCCGACGAUACCCGAAUGGGGAAACCCAGUGUGUUUCGACACACUAUCAUGACAUGAAUACAUAGUGUCAUGAGGCGAACCGGGGGAACUGAAACAUCUCAGUACCCCGAGGAAAAGAAAUCAACCGAGAUUCCCCCAGUAGCGGCGAGCGAACGGGGAAGAGCCCAGAACCUGAAUCAGUUUGUGUGUUAGUGGAAGCGUCUGGAAAGUCGCACAGUAAAGGGUGAUAGUCCCGUACACAAAAAUGCACAGAUUGUGAGUUCGAUGAGUAGGGCGGGACACGUGACAUCCUGUCUGAAUAUGGGGGGACCAUCCUCCAAGGCUAAAUACUCCUGACUGACCGAUAGUGAACCAGUACCGUGAGGGAAAGGCGAAAAGAACCCCGGCGAGGGGAGUGAAAUAGAACCUGAAACCGUGUACGUACAAGCAGUGGGAGCCUACUUGUUAGGUGACUGCGUACCUUUUGUAUAAUGGGUCAGCGACUUAUAUUCUGUAGCAAGGUUAACCGUAUAGGGGAGCCGCAGGGAAACCGAGUCUUAACUGGGCGUUAAGUUGCAGGGUAUAGACCCGAAACCCGGUGAUCUAGCCAUGGGCAGGUUGAAGGUUGGGUAACACUAACUGGAGGACCGAACCGACUAAUGUUGAAAAAUUAGCGGAUGACUUGUGGCUGGGGGUGAAAGGCCAAUCAAACCGGGAGAUAGCUGGUUCUCCCCGAAAGCUAUUUAGGUAGCGCCUCGUGAAUUCAUCUUCGGGGGUAGAGCACUGUUUCGGCUAGGGGGUCAUCCCGACUUACCAACCCGAUGCAAACUACGAAUACCGAAGAAUGUUAUCACGGGAGACACACGGCGGGUGCUAACGUUCGUCGUGAAGAGGGAAACAACCCAGACCGCCAGCUAAGGUCCCAAAGUCAUGGUUAAGUGGGAAACGAUGUGGGAAGGCACAGACAGCCAGGAUGUUGGCUUAGAAGCAGCCAUCAUUUAAAGAAAGCGUAAUAGCUCACUGGUCGAGUCGGCCUGCGCGGAAGAUGUAACGGGGCUAAACCAUGCACCGAAGCUGCGGCAGCGACACUUAGGUGUUGUUGGGUAGGGGAGCGUUCUGUAAGCCUGCGAAGGUGGCCUGUGAGGGCUGCUGGAGGUAUCAGAAGUGCGAAUGCUGACAUAAGUAACGAUAAUGCGGGUGAAAAACCCGCACGCCGGAAGACCAAGGGUUCCUGUCCAACGUUAAUCGGGGCAGGGUGAGUCGACCCCUAAGGCGAGGCUGAAAAGCGUAGUCGAUGGGAAACAGGUUAAUAUUCCUGUACUCGGUGUUACUGCGAAGGGGGGACGGAGAAAGCUAGGUUAUCCGGGCGACGGUUGUCCCGGUUUAAGCGUGAAGGUGGGUGACUUUGGUAAAUCCGGGUCAUCAUUAACACUGAGGCGUGAUGACGAGUCACUACGGUGAUGAAGUAACCGAUGCUACGCUUCCAGGAAAAGCCUCUAAGCUCCAGGUAACAUCAAAUCGUACCCCAAACCGACACAGGUGGUCAGGUAGAGAAUACUCAGGCGCUUGAGAGAACUCGGGUGAAGGAACUAGGCAAAAUGGUGCCGUAACUUCGGGAGAAGGCACGCUGAUGGUAGGUGAAGUGACUUGCUCAUGGAGCUGAAAUCAGUCGAAGAUACCAGCUGGCUGCAACUGUUUAAUAAAAACACAGCACUGUGCAAACACGAAAGUGGACGUAUACGGUGUGACGCCUGCCCGGUGCCGGAAGGUUAAUUGAUGGGGUCAGCCGCAAGGCGAAGCUCUUGAUCGAAGCCCCGGUAAACGGCGGCCGUAACUAUAACGGUCCUAAGGUAGCGAAAUUCCUUGUCGGGUAAGUUCCGACCUGCACGAAUGGCGUAAUGAUGGCCAGGCUGUCUCCACCCGAGACUCAGUGAAAUUGAACUCGCUGUGAAGAUGCAGUGUACCCGCGGCAAGACGGAAAGACCCCGUGAACCUUUACUAUAGCUUGACACUGAACCUUGAGCCUUGAUGUGUAGGAUAGGUGGGAGGCUUUGAAGCGUGGACGCCAGUCUGCGUGGAGCCAACCUUGAAAUACCACCCUUUAAUGUUUGAUGUUCUAACGUGGACCCGUAAUCCGGGUUGCGGACAGUGUCUGGUGGGUAGUUUGACUGGGGCGGUCUCCUCCCAAAGCGUAACGGAGGAGCACGAAGGUUAGCUAAUCCUGGUCGGACAUCAGGAGGUUAGUGCAAAGGCAUAAGCUAGCUUGACUGCGAGAGUGACAGCUCGAGCAGGUGCGAAAGCAGGUCUUAGUGAUCCGGUGGUUCUGAAUGGAAGGGCCAUCGCUCAACGGAUAAAAGGUACUCCGGGGAUAACAGGCUGAUACCGCCCAAGAGUUCAUAUCGACGGCGGUGUUUGGCACCUCGAUGUCGGCUCAUCACAUCCUGGGGCUGAAGUAGGUCCCAAGGGUAUGGCUGUUCGCCAUUUAAAGUGGUACGCGAGCUGGGUUUAGAACGUCGUGAGACAGUUCGGUCCCUAUCUGCCGUGGGCGUUGGAAGAUUGAGAGGGGUUGCUCCUAGUACGAGAGGACCGGAGUGAACGCACCACUGGUGUACGGGUUGUGAUGCCAAUUGCAUUGCCCGGUAGCUAAGUGCGGAAGAGAUAACCGCUGAAAGCAUCUAAGCGGGAAACUUGCCUCGAGAUGAGUCUUCCCUGGGCACUUGAUGCCCCUGAAGGGCCGUUGAAGACGACGACGUAGAUAGGCUGGGUGUGUAAGCGUAGCGAUACGUUGAGCUAACCAGUACUAAUGACCCGAGAGGCUUAACCUUACAACACCGAAGGUGUUU
rnacentral:rRNA from 1 species